AUUGAACGCUGGCGGCAGGCUUAACACAUGCAAGUCGAGCGGGGGAGGUUGCUUCGGUAACUGACCUAGCGGCGGACGGGUGAGUAAUACUUAGGAAUCUGCCUAUUAAUGGGGGACAACAUCUCGAAAGGGAUGCUAAUACCGCAUACGCCCUACGGGGGAAAGCAGGGGAUCACUUGUGACCUUGCGUUAAUAGAUGAGCCUAAGUCGGAUUAGCUAGUUGGUGGGGUAAAGGCCUACCAAGGCGACGAUCUGUAGCGGGUCUGAGAGGAGUAUCCGCCACACUUGGACUGAGACACGGCCCAGACUCCUACGGGAGGCAGCAGUGGGGAAUAUUGGACAAUGGGGGGAACCCUGAUCCAGCCAUGCAGCGUGUGUGAAGAAGGCCUUAUGGUUGUAAAGCACUUUAAGCGAGGAGGAGGCUCUUUUGGUUAAUACCCAAGAUGAGUGGACGUUACUCGCAGAAUAAGCACCGGCUAACUCUGUGCCAGCAGCCGCGGUAA
rnacentral:rRNA from 1 species